UUUGAUAUAUUGUUCGAUAUGAUUGAUACGCGAUUCACCAUUCAGCGUCUUGCAUUUAACGCAUCGGAGGCAACACAUACUUGCGUAACCUAAAUCGUACGGUAAUAACAUCGUUCCGGAUCUGAUAAUAAUUACCUGUGGCGCAACGUUUGCCGUAUACAGAAAUAGGAGGAAGCACUGCGGUCUCGUUAACGGACUCAAGCGGCCGUGGAGUUGUGGGGAUCUCUGGGCAGCGCAGACAGCAGCUCUCGGGGGCUUUGGUGGCGUUCGCGCAGGUCGGCGGGGGGCCA